AUGUCCGGGUUCGUGGGGGUCGUCGUCUCCGACCCCUCCUUGCAGGGCCACUUCACGCAGGUCGAGCUCCGAUCGCUCAAGGCCAAGUAUGUGACUCUGAAGAGGGAGUCCGGCCAUGUCACCACCAACAACCUGCCGGGUCUGAUGAAGAAGCUGAAGGGGCUCAAUGAGGUUGUCUCCGAGGAGGAGAUUGCUGCGUUCUUGUCGGAGGUCUGCCCCGACAGCGACCAAGAGAUUGAGUUCGAGCAAUUCCUUCAGGAGUACCUGAACCUGCAGGAGAGGGUGAGCUCCAAGGCGGGCGCGAGCGGGAGCAAGAACUCGUGGUCGUUCCUCAAGUCGAGCACCACCACGCUGAUCCACCACAGCCCCAACCAGGCAGAGAAGUCGUCCUACGUCGCGCACAUCAACGCGUACCUCGGCAACGAUCCUUUCCUGAAGAAGUAUCUGCCGAUUGACCCCGCGGGCAACGAUUUGUUCGACCUCGUCAGAGACGGGGUCGUGCUCUGUAAAUUGAUCAAUGUAGCGGUACCUGGGACUAUUGAUGAGAGAGCCAUCAACAAGAAAAGGAUCCUUAACCCAUGGGAGAGAAAUGAGAACCACACACUGUGCCUCAACUCUGCAAAGGCUAUUGGAUGUACUGUUGUGAAUCUUGGAGCUCAAGACUUGGUGGAAGGAAGGACUCAUCUAGUUCUCGGGUUGAUAUCUCAAAUUAUAAAGGUGAAUCCUGAAAUCCCCAAUAUACAACUUUUGGCUGAUCUAAAUCUUAAGAGGACGCCACAGCUGGUGGAAAUUUUUGAUGACAGCAAGGAUAUAGAUGAAGUGCUGAGCUUGUCACCUGAAAAGUUACUACUUCAAUGGAUGAAUUAUCAUCUCAAGAAAGCUGGCUACAAGAAAAUUGUUACCAACUUCUCCUCAGAUAUCAAGGAUGCUGAAGCCUACGCCUAUCUUAUCAAAUCUCUCGCUCCAGAGCAUUCCUCUAUACUUGCAUUUGACACUAAGGAUCCUGCCGUAAGAGCGAAAGUGGUACUUGACCAAGCAGAGAAGUUGGGCUGCAAAAGAUACUUGAGCCCAAAGGAUAUUACUGAAGGCUCCCCAAAUCUCAACCUUGCAUUUGUUGCACAAAUAUUCCAACAUAGAAACGGUUUGAGUACUGACUCCAGACAGGUUGCACUCACACAAACCUCAUCGCGAGAUGAGGUUAUAUUGUCCCGAGAAGAGAGAGCCUUCCGAAUGUGGAUCAACAGCCUUGGAAUUGCGACAUACGUGAACAAUGUGUUUGAAGAUGUUCGAAAUGGGUGGGUCCUACUAGAAGUGCUCGACAAAGUCUGUCCCGGAUAUGUCAACUGGAAGCUAGCGACAAAACCUCCGAUAAAAAUGCCAUUUAGAAAACUGGAGAACUGUAAUCAAGUUAUAAAUAUUGCAAAGGAUCUGAAGUUUUCCAUGGUGAAUCUAGCUGGAAAUGAUAUUGUUCAGGGAAACAAGAAGUUGAUUGUUGCACUUCUAUGGCAAUUGAUGAGAUUCAAUAUCCUCCAGCUGUUAAACAAACUGAGAUUCCACUCUCAAGGGUCCCAAGGAAAAGAAAUAACGGAUGCUGAUAUCUUGAGUUGGGCGAAUAACAAAGUGAAGGUUUCCGGGAGAAAUUCUCGAAUAGAAAGUUUUAAGGACAAGAACCUAUCGAGUGGAAUUUUUUUCCUUGAGCUUCUCAGUGCUGUAGAGCCAAGGGUUGUGAACUGGAAGGUUGUAUCGAAGGGUGUAAAUGAUGAUGAGAAGAAGUUAAAUGCAACCUACAUCAUCAGUGUCGCACGGAAGCUCGGGUGCUCUGUUUUUCUGUUACCAGAAGACAUCAUUGAUGUGAAUCAGAAAAUGAUCCUAACAUUGACUGCUAGCAUCAUGUACUGGAGUCUGCAGAAGCCACAGCAGCCUGAAACAUCCGAACAAUCAGAAUCAUCUUAUGCGGCUUCAGAUGCUGCUUCCGAUAUCGCCUCAGAGGAUUCCGCUUCGAUAAUAGCACCUUCAGAAGGAGAAGAGGUGAAUUCAUUGCCUGAUAGAGCAUCCAACAUGCCAACUGAUGAUACUAGUACUUCAGAGGCUCCUGCUGAUGAUACUAGUACUUCAGAGGCUCCUGCUUGA
rnacentral:rRNA from 1 species